rnacentral:rRNA from 1 species
UACAGAGGUCUCAAGCGUUGUUCGGAUUCAUUGGGCGUAAAGGGUGCGUAGGUGGCGCGGUAAGUCGGGGUGUGAAAUCUCGGAGCUUAACUCCGAAAUUGCAUUCGAUACUGCCGUGCUUGAGGACUGGAGAGGAGACUGGAAUUCAUGGUGUAGCAGUGAAAUGCGUAGAGAUCAUGAGGAAGACCAGUGGCGAAGGCGGGUCUCUGGACAGUUCCUGACACUGAGGCACGAAGGCCAGGGGAGCAAACGGGG